rnacentral:rRNA from 1 species
UACGUAGGGUGCAAGCGUUUAAUCGGAAUUACUGGGCGUAAAGCGUGCGCAGGCGGUUUUGCAAGACAGAUGUGAAAUCCCCGGGCUCAACCUGGGAACUACAUUUGUGACUGCAAGGCUAGAAUCUGGCAGAGGGGGGUAGAAUUCCACGUGUAGCAGUGAAAUGCGUAGAUAUGUGGAGGAAUACCGAUGGCGAAGGCAGCCCCCCUGGGCUAAGAUUGACGCUCA